rnacentral:rRNA from 1 species
UGGGGAAUAUUGGACAAUGGGCGCAAGCCUGAUCCAGCAAUGCCGCGUGAGUGAAGAAGGUCUUCGGAUUGUAAAGCUCUUUCGACGGGGACGAUGAUGACGGUACCCGUAGAAGAAGCCCCGGCUAACUUCGUGCCAGCAGCCGCGGUAAUACGAAGGGGGCUAGCGUUGCUCGGAAUGACUGGGCGUAAAGGGCGCGUAGGCGGUUUGUACAGUCAGAUGUGAAAUUCCUGGGCUUAACCUGGGGGCUGCAUUUGAUACGUGCAGACUUGAGUGAGGAAGAGGGUCGUGGAAUUCCCAGUGUAGAGGUGAAAUUCGUAGAUAUUGGGAAGAACACCGGUGGCGAAGGCGGCGACCUGGUCCUUGACUGACGCUGAGGCGCGAAAGCGUGGGGAGCAAACAGGAUUAGAUACCCUGGUAGUCCACGCUGUAAACGAUGUGUGCUGGAUGUUGGGUGACCUAGUCACUCAGUGUCGUAGCUAACGCGAUAAGCACACCGCCU